rnacentral:rRNA from 1 species
UAGGGAAUCUUCCACAAUGGACGAAAGUCUGAUGGAGCAACGCCGCGUGAGUGAAGAAGGGUUUCGGCUCGUAAAACUCUGUUGUUAAAGAAGAACAUGUAUGAGAGUAACUGUUCAUACGUUGACGGUAUUUAACCAGAAAGUCACGGCUAACUACGUGCCAG